AGAAAGGCAGAAUAAUACGAUGAUGUGGAUCUAGACUCCAUGGAUUCUAAUUCAGUUGCUGGAUGUCUGCUGGCUGGAGAUCACCCGUUUCCCUGUCAAGGGGGCCUCUCUGCCACAAUAAGUUGCUUCAUCACCCUUCGACAAGAGAGAAAGGCUACUAGCAAGACAGAUGUUACAAUUACAGAAACGAAGUUUUGCCACAUUGGCCAGGCUGGUCUCAAAC